UCACUUUCCUCAGAUAGCUGGUGUUUAAUGUUUCACAUCAAAUCCUGAAGAAGCAUCGAGGUUUUCCUUGUACAAAGUUCCUGGACAUGCUGAAGUAGCACAGCCUGUCCUUUGUCAUGUUGGCUGAAAAGAAACCUGCUUUCCUGGGGAAUAAAAACGGCUCCAGUGUGGCUCCUUUCUCGGACCUUAGAUGAGGAAAAUGGAAUUCUGAGAAGUUAAGUGAAUUCUUCACUCAUACAGCUACUAAAUAUCUGAGAGGUUGGCUAUAAGAACAACUGAACACUGCAGAACCGACAUGUUGAAAUUGUAGGUGCUGAAGAAUACUUUUGAAAGCCCUUUGGCCAACAAAGAGAUCAAAUCAGUCAAUACUUAAAGAAAUUAAUUCAGUCUAUUCACUGGAAGAUCAAAUACUGAAGCUGAAACUUAAGUACUUUAGCCAUAUAAUGAGAAGUUGGGUUCAUUGGAAAAGACUCUGAUAUUGGGAAAGAUCAAAGGCAAAAGGAGAAGAGGAUAGUGUCAUGGAAGCAAUGAACAUGAGCUUGGAUAAACUUUAAGAGGUAAUGGAGGAUAGAAGGACCUGACAUGCUAUGCUCCAAGGGAUCAUGAAGACUCAGCCACAUGUAAACAACCAAAUAACAAAUAUGAAUGUAAUAAAAUGCAAUUGUUCCAUAAUGAAUAUUAGGAAUUGGGCACAUAAGGAAAUUGUAUGAAAUGAUGCAGAGGAAAGAAAACAAAACCAGGAAAACAAGCUAUUGAAUGAUCCCCAAAUUAUAAAUGCUCUUAAGAUAUCUUAAUUUAACAUCAAUUCACACACUAAAAAAAGACUGCAGAGAUUUGAUUGUAAAACAUACUUUAAUCUCUCAAAAGAGUUAUAGAAUAUAAGAGGUGCCAAACAUAUUGCUGUCAGGUAUAGUUUUGUCUCAGUUUUUAUUAGCUAUAUUUCUCUAUUAUAUCAGAAAAUGCCUAGAGUAUAAAAGACAAAAGCCAUCAACAAAACUUUCAACAUAUCGUUUGACAGCUAUUAUGAACUUUUUCUUGUAGAUCAUGGACUUACUUUGGCAGUA